GUCUGGAUGGCGCAGUGGUCAGCGUAUCUGCCUAGUAAGCAGGAGACUUGGGUUCAAUUCCCGAUCCGGCUCA